GCGGCCGGGCCGGGCCGGGCCGGGCUGGGCAGCGCCAGGAGGGGUUGGUGCGCCCUCGGUCCGUCCUGGGCCGGGGCAGACCGGGUCGGGCUGUGCCAGGCCGGGCAGCGCCGCCAUGAGCUCCGGCGGGACGCUGAGCAUCCUCCGCAGCGACUCGUACGCCGAGCUCAGCCAGUACCGCGACCAGCACUUCCGGGGGACGCGCGACGACCAGGAGCGGCUGCUGAGGAAGAGCUGCACGCUGUACGUGGGGAACCUGUCCUUCUACACCACCGAGGAGCAGAUCCACGAGCUCUUCGGCAAGAGCGGCGACAUCAAGAAGGUCAUCAUGGGGCUGGACAAAGUGAAGAAAACCGCCUGCGGCUUCUGCUUCGUGGAGUAUUAUGCAAGAGGAGAUGCUGAAAAUGCAAUGCGAUACAUCAAUGGAACCAGACUUGAUGACAGGAUCAUAAGGACCGACUGGGAUGCAGGAUUUAAGGAGGGUAGGCAGUAUGGCCGUGGAAGAUCAGGAGGGCAGUUGUUUGCAGAGUUUUGGUCUCUGAAGUAGGAGCUAUUCUUAGAACAUCUGCUACAAUUCAUUGAUGACCUUGGGAAAAGUGCACUUGAAGACAGGGAGAACAUUCUCCUAGUUCCCUACUGUCAUUGCUGGCCAGAAGGUAAAGGGAGACAAGCAUUUAGGUAAUGAAUUUUAAGACCUUCCACAGAGUCAGAAGUUCAAUGCCUUCCUGGCCAACUUAGGGGAUCAUGAGAAAGGGAUCAUGAGAUCUGUGUGUAUUGUUGAGGGACCUCCUGAGUUGUACUGAAUUCUGAAUGCUGCAGCCCCCAAAACAUUGUGCAUCUUCCUGCUAAGACAAAGCAUGAAGUUCACACUGCUGUCUUUCUGUUGAGAAAUGAAUUGAUAUGAGUGCACACAGAAUUACACCACUACCAACCUACUCUCCGUGGUCUUGAACCUUCAUCAUUUUUUGCAUAUUAACCCUUUUUUAACAUGAAGCAGGAUUGGGCAAGAGGACUUGUCUUUUUCCUGUUUUGAGAGAACAUCCUGUUUGUGAAGACCCUUCUUCAUGGAAAUCAAAAUUGAUAAUAAAUUCUGCUGUGUCUCACAGAGGAGAACUUUGCCUGAAUUCAGUGACACUUCGGUUUCCUUGUUCAGGAAGUGUUGAUGAAGAACAUAGUGGGACAUGAGAGUUGAGGACAGCCAGAAGAAGGGGUGGAAUACGCCCAAGUAAUUUAUAAGUGCAGGUACUAUGCUUGACAUCAAGAACUGUGUAAGGACAUUAAGUAUUGUUAUUAUCGUCAUCACAUAAUGUAGGUCGAAUAAUAGGUCAGAGAAGCGGUAUGUCCACAGAUACUCUAUACAGAGUGCCACGGUUAGCUGGCUCCAAGAACACACAGUACUGUUCCAAUUAAUUGACAGAAUAGCUUGAUACUUCACAGGUUGGAGCAGUCAGAUCAUUCUAAGGCUUUGAUUAUCUUCCCUCCUACACAGAAUGUUUAAUUUCAAACUUAAUUGUAUCCACAUUUCCGUUUCUAAUUUAUCCAGAUAUAGAAAUGCUAUAGUAACCGAACAGCAUGUCCUUUGAGGAAAUAAAGUGUGGCACAAUCCCGUGGCACCAGAGCAAUCUGAUUAAAGAGAUGUUUAUGUAGCAUAGUCUUUAUAAGUUAACUAAUUUCCCAUGUGCUUACUGUUCUUGUGGUGCACUUUACUUCUAAAGAAGAGAUGAGAAACUGUUUAUCUUGCUUGUUUUAUGCUUUGGGAUUUCCACUGUUUCCAGUUUGUCAUGGAAUUUAUGGAGGUAACUGAAAAGUAAGUCAGCUGCUUCAUUGCGUAUACUUCUGCUCAAGGCAAGGAUCCAAUUUUUAGGAGGAAAUUUCCACCACUGGUGUCUGCUCAAGGGAUUAAAUGCACUGAUUUUCACACAGUUAACAAGGUGCACCUCUGUAAUCUGUAGUAUGCAGUUCUGAGAGGGUUCCCGUAGGUGGUCAGUAUUUACAAGAAAGUCAGAAUGACCUGUAAGAGACUAGGGACUAAUUUUUCACCUAUGAUUUUGUGUAUGGAGCUGAAGGACUGCAAGUACUCCAAGGCAGUGCCAAGAUUUCCAUUUAUCUGAAUCACACUGAAACUCAAAGAUCUAUCAGAGUGCUAUAUGUGACUGACCUCUGCCCCUGGUGUGGUGAUUUUGUUGCUGCUGUACAAAUAUAUAACCUUAAAAAAUCCAAAACUUGGGAGAAACACAUUGUUGAAAUAGCUCUGAAUAUUUCUUUUCAUCUGAAAGAAAACCUUCUUUAACCAGUAAGUGGAAUUACUUGGUUUGGUCUGAUCUUAUAUCUGGAACUGCUGCACAUGAACGGGUUUUGAUGGAUAGUUGCAUAAUUGAUAUUUUUGGAAUUGAUUUGGAAGUUCUGACAAUGAGGAUCUACCAGUGUUUUCAUAGGAGGAAAAUGGAAAAACCACAAUGCUGACACAAUUUUAGUAACACCAAAAUGAAACAAACCACAGUUGGACCUUUAAUAUGGUAUCUGGGUUGGAGUUAAUCUAAUGUUUAGAUUCUCAUUGGUGGAGAGUGAGUGUGCUGAGGAAACCUUGUUCAUAAACUGUCUCUGAGGGAUCCUCUGUUAUGACUUGAUACAAAGCUAAGAAAUAGUUGUAUUUGGUUUUUUUUUUAUCAGUCUCUGAGAAAAGAGCUUGUGUAUCUCCUUUCUAGCUGAAAGCCUUAGUCCUGGUGACAUCCAGCUGAGUAAGAGCGAGCAUUUAUCAACAGGAAAGUUGAUGAAUUGAUAAAUACAAUGAGAAGUUUCAUUCAUUGAAACAUCUUUAUGCAAAAAAAAAAAAGUGCCUCUGAGAAAUGGUUAGAACUCUUGAAAAUUGUCAGCUUGUACUUUCAACUUGUAAACCAGACUUAAAGCUGUUUACUAAGAAGAGAGCACCACCUGGUGUUGGUAAGUCACUACACCUUGUAAGGGCUUAUGUGGAUGUUGUCUCG